CUGCUUCCCCUUCUCUCCCAUUUUGCUCAGCUUCUCUCUCGAACCAACCCCAUCGCUCUCUGCACGGGAAGUAUACAGGCGCCACUCCAUACCAACGGACACGGCCUUGCGGCCAUUGCAACAUCAGGCCUUAAACAGUUUCUAUUUCUCUCUAGCUUUCAUGUUGAUGGUUUGAGAAGGAGAGUGUAUUGGUCGAGUUGAGGAUGAUGCUUCCUGAUUGCUGCAAGCCCCUGGAAGCUUCGCUUGCUGACUUGAAAAGAAUGUUGGCCGAAAAGCUCACCUGCGAACAAAGAAAAAAGUCAAAAUUACCCAUCUUUCAAUUUCCAUUUCCCUGGAUAACCAUUUUUAUCUUCUUCUCUCUGCAUGAUCAUUUCUCAGUUUCCAUUUUUCUGUAUUUUGUGAGAAAAUGGCUGCAAGGCUAUUAAUGGCGAGAAUGAGAAAAUGCCUUGUAUCCCUCCCCUUAUUUAAACCUCCUCCCUCUGGCUAUCUUUUCUCUUCCUCUCCAUGCCUUGACUCUUGCAAAGCUUCCAGUCUUGAACAUGAAAAAGUUUCUCUUUUCUCUCCUCUGGAAGCUUCCAGAGCUACUGGAUCGAAUUUCCGGGCUUUCUGCUCUCGGCCUCUGAACCUCGACGAUGCACAGGGCCCCGCUGCAAUUGAUUAUAGGUCUAUUCUUCCUGAGGAUGAGUUUCACAGGUUGGCUGACGAGACGAUACAUGACCUGCAAGAAAAAAUUGAGGAAUAUGGUGAUUGCGUCCAACUGGAUGGCUUUGAUAUAGAUUAUGGGAAUGAAGUUUUAACAUUGAAGCUUGGGAGCUUGGGCACCUAUGUUUUAAACAAGCAAACACCAAAUAGGCAGAUUUGGUUGUCUUCCCCAGUAAGAAUGAAGUUUUAACAUUGAAGCUUGGGAGCUUGGGCACCUAUGUUUUAAACAAGCAAACACCAAAUAGGCAGAUUUGGUUGUCUUCCCCAGUAAGCGGACCAUCUCGUUUUGAUUGGGACGGGAUGAGGCAAGCUUGGGUUUAUAGGCGGACCAAAGAAAACUUGCAGCAAAUAUUAGAAACUGAGAUAGAACAACUGUGUGGUAAACCCAUUAAUCUUUCCUGAGUUCUCUAAAUAACAUCUGUUCUGCAACGUGAAUCGAGUACUCUUUCAAUGAAUAUACAUUAGAAAUCUUGAAAGGUA